UUAAAUUGAAGAGUUUGAUCAUGGCUCAGAUUGAACGCUGGCGGCAGGCCUAACACAUGCAAGUCGAGCGGAAACGAGUUGUCUGAACCUUCGGGGAACGAUAACGGCGUCGAGCGGCGGACGGGUGAGUAAUGCCUGGGAAAUUGCCCUGAUGUGGGGGAUAACCAUUGGAAACGAUG
rnacentral:rRNA from 1 species